GGAUGUGAAGACAAUCUGGCUGUGACAUCUGUCAUCCCACUGAUUGCCAAGGUUGACUUGGCUGAUCUGGCUGGUGAGGCGGGUGUCCCCUUCUUCCCUCAAAGGUCUAUGUGCAUCCCUCCCAAAGCUGCAGGCUCAGUCAAAUAGGAUGACUACCCCCAAUAGAGGAGGACCGUUCCUCAGUCAAGGGUAUAUGAACAGCUGCACUCCCCUGCCAGAACCUCCAGACAAGCUCUCAAAGUAAGUAUGAGAUAUUUAAAAUUUUAUCAACAAAGAGACCAAAAAUAAAAAAGAAUUUAUGAAAAAUAUUCCCU
rnacentral:snRNA from 1 species